GACGUAGGGCGCGAGCGUUGUCCGGAUUUAUUGGGCGUAAAGAGCUCGUAGGCGGCUUGUCGCGUCGACUGUGAAAUCCCGCGGCUCAACUGCGGGUCUGCAGUCGAUACGGGCAGGCUAGAGUUCGGUAGGGGAGACUGGAAUUCCUGGUGUAGCGGUGAAAUGCGCAGAUAUCAGGAGGAACACCGAUGGCGAAGGCAGAUCUCUGGGCCGUAACUGACGCUGAGGAGCGAAAGCAUGGGGAGCGAACAGG
rnacentral:rRNA from 1 species